GACGAACGCUGGCGGCGUGCUUAACACAUGCAAGUCGAGCGGUAAGGCCCUUUCGGGGGUACACGAGCGGCGAACGGGUGAGUAACACGUGGGUGACCUGCCCUCAGCUCUGGGAUAAGCCUGGGAAACCGGGUCUAAUACUGGAUAUGACUCCAUGACGCAUGUUGUGGGGUGGAAAGCCUUGUGCGGCUGAGGAUGGGCCCGCGGCCUAUCAGCUUGUUGGUGGGGUGAGGCCUACCAAGGCGACGACGGGUAGCCGGCCUGAGAGGGCGACCGGCCACACUGGGACUGAGACACGGCCCAGACUCCUACGGGAGGCAGCAGUGGGGAAUCUUGCGCAAUGGGCGAAAGCCUGACGCAGCGACGCCGCGUGAGGGAUGACGGCCUCGGUUGUAAC
rnacentral:rRNA from 1 species